AAUUUACUCUAAAAAUAUUGAGAAAAGGGCGGGUAUCGCGUAAAAGAAAAAGAAAAAUCUAAGUCUCCUCCGCUCCUUGUGCCGCCGCCAAGACGAACAGGGGAGGGCCGGGCGGCGAGACGAGCAGAGCAGCGGAGGGGAGGGGAUCCUGUCAUGGAAAUUAAUACUGGUGAUAUAAGGGGCUAUGCUUAUGUUCCCUCUCGCAAGGCCGCCGGGUCGCCAUUAUGCCGACGCCACGCUCCGCAGGGGGCAGUGGCGGCUCUCCCACCACCUCCGCGCCGCAGCCGCAGCCACAAGCGGUGGUGGUGCGCCCGACGUGUUCGAUGCAGUGCCUGCCCUGGACGACCGCAUGCGGUGCAGCGCGCUGCUCAGGGAGCGCGCAGUGGGAGGGGACCACUACGGGUGCACCUCCCUCCUCCGGUGGAUGCUGGCCCGGGGACUUCGCCCCAACAGGCUGGCGCUCGCUGCGGCGGUCAAAUCGUCGUCCGCGCUCCCCGACUGCCGCGGCGGCGCGGCGCUCGGGAGGUGCCUCCACGGGCUCGCUGUCAAGGUCGGGUACGCGGAUGGCGCGGUGGUGGCAAAGGCGGUCAUGGACAUGUACGGGAGGAUCGGGUCUCUCGCGGACGCCCACACGGUGUUUGAUGAGAUGAGCUGCUCCGACGCGGUAUGUAGGAACAUCCUGAUCACUGCCUCCUCCCGUGCUGGACUUUACAACGAUGUGUUCCAUUUGUUCCGUGCAAUGCUUGCUAGUGGUGUAGAUGAGAGCAUGCCAACUGCAGUCACGGUCGCUGUCGUCCUUCCGGUGUGCGCAAAGUUGAGGGUGCUGAGGGCUGGAAGGAGUAUCCACGGCUAUGUCAUCAAGACUGGUUUGGAGUUUGACACUCUGUCUGGAAAUGCUUUGGUAUCAAUGUACGCAAAAUGUGGUGGGAGCAUAGCUAUGGAUGAUGCGCAUCUAGCAUUUUCUACAAUUUGUUGCAAGGAUGUGGUUUCAUGGAACUCAAUCAUUGCGGGAUAUUCUGAGAAUGGGUUGUUUGAAGAAGCACUUGCACUGUUUGGUCAGAUGAUCUCAGAGGAAUGCCUUCCAAACUAUUCAACAUUGGCUAAUGUUCUUCCCUUCUGUUCACUUGUGGAGUAUGGGAGGCACUAUGGGAAAGAAAUUCAUGGUUUUGUGGUCCGACAUGGUUUAGAAAUGGAUAUAUCUGUUAGCAAUGCGCUGAUGGCACAUUAUUCCAAGGUUUGUGAAAUGAGGGCUGUAGAAUCAAUAUUUAGAAGUUCAAAAAUGGGAGAUAUCGUUACAUGGAACACUGUCAUUGCGGGAUAUGUGAUGAAUCGGUAUCCCUCAAGGGCAUUGAAACUGUUUCAGGGGCUUUUGUUUGCCGGAAUGGCUCCUGAUUCUGUUUCUCUUAUCAGCCUACUUACUGCUUGUGCCCAAGUAGGCAAUCUCAGAGUGGGCAUCAGGGUUCAUGGUUAUAUUUUUCGACAUCCUGAACUUCUUCAAGAAACAUCAUUAAUGAAUGCUCUUGUCAGCUUUUACAGCCAGUGUGACAGGUUUGAUGCUGCUUUUCGAUCUUUUAUCACUAUUCAGAACAAAGACUCAGUAUCCUGGAACGCAAUUCUCUCUGCUUGUGCAAACAGUGAACACCAUAUUGAACAGUUCUUUAGACUCCUUGGUGAAAUGUGGCAUGACGUAACUCAGUGGGACUCUGUCACGAUCUUGAAUAUUAUCCGCAUGAGUACGUUCUGUGGGAUUAAGAUGGUUCAAGAAUCUCAUGGAUAUUCCUUGCGAGUCGGUUAUACUGGUGAUUCUUCAGUUGCGAAUGCUAUUCUAGACGCAUAUGCAAAGUGUGGCUACCUGCAUGAUGCAGAAACACUCUUCAGAAGCCUUGCAGGACGGAACAUUGUUACUGGCAAUACAAUGAUUUCUUGCUACCUAAAAAAUAAUUGUGUGGAGGAUGCUGAGAUGACCUUCAACCAUAUGGCUGAGAAAGAUUUAACUACAUGGAAUCUGAUGAGCCGGUUGUAUGCACAGAACGAUUUGUGUGAUCAAGCUUUUUGCUUGUUCCAUCAGUUGCAAUCUGAAGGACUAAACCCUGAUACUAUAAGCAUUACAAAUAUUCUUUCGGCUUGCAUCCAUCUGAGCUCAGUGCAACUUGUGAAACAAUGCCAUGGUUACAUGCUUAGAGCAUCCCUAGAAGAUAUUCAUCUAGAAGGAGCACUUCUUGAUGCAUACUCUAAGUGUGGGAACAUAGCCAAUGCAUACAACCUCUUUCAAGUUAGCCUGCAUAAGGACCUUGUCAUAUUCACAGCCAUGAUAGGAGCUUAUGCAAUGCAUGGAAUGGCAGAAAAGGCGGUAGAACUAUUCUCCAAAAUGCUUACACUUGACAUUAAGCCAGACCAUGUAGUUCUGACUGCUCUUCUGUCAGCCUGCAGUCAUGCAGGGCUUGUCGAUGCUGGAAUUAAGAUUUUCAAGUCCAUCAGAGAGAUCUAUGGAGUUGAACCAACAGAAGAGCACUGUGCAUGCAUGGUUGACCUUCUUGCCCGUUCUGGGCGUCUCCAAGAUGCAUACAGUUUUGCGUUGGAUAUGCCUCCUCAUGUGGUCAAUGCCAAUGCAUGGGGCUCCUUGCUAGGGGCAUGCAAGGUCCAUGGAGAGGUCAAAAUUGGUCAGCUUGCAGCUGAUCGCUUGUUCUCCAUGGAGGCUGAGGACAUCGGGAACUAUGUGAUCAUGUCAAACAUCUUUGCGGCUGAUGAUAAAUGGGAAAGUGUUGAGCAUGUCAGGAAACUGAUGAAAUCCAAGGAUAUGAAAAAACCUGCAGGAUGCAGCUGGAUUGAGGUUGAGAAGACACGGCAUUUGUUUGUAGCCAGUGAUGUUCAGCACCAAGAUAGGUUUUCUAUCUACGAUGUGUUGGGAAGUUUGUAUCAGCAAAUCAGAGGUACACAGGGAGGGACAGAACAUUUAGUUGUGACUUAUGAGCUGUGACAUAAAACACUCAGUAAAUUACUUGGUGUUCUGGCCCCGUCAUUGUUUUGGGUUGCCAAAGAUCUCCAUGGAACUGAGUGACCUUUCCAUCACAUCUUCCGUGGACAACAAAUGGAGACAUCUGCUUACAACCGUGAACCGGUUGGAGUGUCUUUGUCAGCUCAAAAAAAGAUUGGUUCCUGGCGAUGCAUUGUUCUUCCUGAGGGGAACAGCUGACGCAGCACAGACGUCCGAAGCUAGCAAGGCAUCCUCGUCCUCACGUACGUCCGAUCUGCCCCCUUCCACGCCGUGGUUCCGGGAGCUGUGGGUCAACGCCGACAAAUAGUUGCAGCCGUCGCCUAAGGUAUGUCAAAUCGAGAGAGGAGAUUGGACGCUGUGGCGCUGUGUUCUGUGUGGUUGGUGGUGCUUCUUGGGUCAUUUGCAAACACCUCCUCUAAGAUAGCCUGUCUGCAAACACCACUUUCUUAAUCGAGAAGGUGGUACUUCUUGAUUCUAAUUGAUGAAUCAAGAAAGAUGGAGUCUAGUAUAUACAAAAUGUGGUCAUUUGCAAAGCAGACAGAGAAAAGGGUUGAAGAUCUAUAUUCAGAUGUGAAAAAGGCGAAGAUGAACUUGAUGAAGGAAUCUAAACAUUCAGUAGAUCCAGAAGCUCCCUUGCUCAUAGCAUAGACCCUUGAAUUUUAUUGAAUAGUUAGUUUAUGAAACUUUCGUUACUGAAUAUAUGCCAGGGUGUGCCCCCAAGAAUCACGUAUUUUUGGAAUUUGAAAUGAAAUAGUACCAAACAAAUUUGGAGAGUGAUGAACUUUUUUCUUUAGUGACUAAUGUUUUAUAUUUUUGUCAA